rnacentral:lncRNA from 1 species
UAAGAUAAGUAUUAAAUUAAAUUUAAUAUUAAACUAUUAAAAUAAUAUUAUUUUUAGAAUAAUUAAUAUGAAAUCGAAUUCUCUGGUAGAGUCCAAGUAGGAGUGUAACUCUUCCACUACUCAACCACCAAAGACCAACCAUUGUCGCCUACCGGAUGUAACAACUCGUUUUUAGUCAAAUCAGAAUAGUUGUUUUGGAACCAAAAAUUUGAGGGAAAAAUAAUUAUUUUAUUAUUAUUUUAAUGUACACAACAUGAUAAUAUGUUUGUGUGAAAUUUUUUUUAGGAAAUUUUAUCAUUUGGAUGGUUAAUUUGAUAAAAAGGACUAAAUC